UACGUAGGGGGCAAGCGUUGUCCGGAAUCAUUGGGCGUAAAGAGCGUGUAGGCGGCCCGGUCAGUCGGUUGUGAAAGUCAAGGGCUCAACCCUUGAAUGCCGACCGAAACUGCCGGGCUAGAGUCCGGAAGAGGCGAGUGGAAUUCCUGGUGUAGCGGUGAAAUGCGCAGAUAUCAGGAGGAACACCAAUGGCGAAGGCAGCUCGCUGGGACGGUACUGACGCUGAGACGCGAAAGCGUGGGGAGCAAACAGG
rnacentral:rRNA from 1 species